rnacentral:rRNA from 1 species
AUUGAACGCUGGCGGCAGGCCUAACACAUGCAAGUCGAACGAGUGGCGGACGGGUGAGUAAUCUCUGGGAAAGUGCCAGGUAGAGGGGGAUCACUACUAGACAGUGUAGAUAAUACCGCAUACUAUCGGAUCGGCCGAUAUGGGAUUCGCGAGUUGGUGGGGUAAAGGCUCACCAAGGCGACGAUCCCUAGCUGGUGUGAGAGGAUGACCAGCCACACUGGAACGGAGACACGGUCCAGACUCCUACGGGAGGCAGCAGUGGGGAAUAUUGCACAAUGGGCGAAAGCCUGAUGCAGCCAUGCCGCGUGUAUGAAGAAGGCCUUCGGGUUGGAAAGUACUUUCAGCGGGGAGGCGGUACCCGCAGAAGAAGCACCGGCUAACUCCGUGCCAGCAGCCGCGGUAAUUC